GCAACUUUCGGCAGCACAUAUACUAAAAUUGGAACGAUACAGAGAAGAUUAGCAUGGCCCCUGCACAAAUAAUUGGCAACUGAUGAGUUUCUUAAUACAGUU